GAGUUUGAUCCUGGCUCAGAUUGAACGCUGGCGGCAGGCUUAACACAUGCAAGUCGAACGGUAACAUGAGUGCUUGCACUUGAUGACGAGUGGCGGACGGGUGAGUAAUGUAUGGGGAUCUGCCGAAUGGAGGGGGACAACAGUUGGAAACGACUGCUAAUACCGCAUAAAGUUGAGAGACCAAAGCAUGGGACCUUCGGGCCAUGCGCCAUUUGAUGAACCCAUAUGGGAUUAGCUAGUUGGUAGGGUAAUGGCUUACCAAGGCGACGAUCUCUAGCUGGUCUGUGAGGAUGACCAGCCACACUGGAACUGAGACACGGUCCAGACUCCUACGGGAGGCAGCAGUGGGGAAUAUUGCACAAUGGGGGGAACCCUGAUGCAGCCAUGCCGCGUGUAUGAAGAAGGCCUUCGGGUUGUAAAGUACUUUCGGUGAUGAGGAAGGUGGUGUAUCUAAUAGGUGCAUCAGUUGACGUUAAUUACAGAAGAAGCACCGGCUAACUCCGUGCCAGCAGCUGCGGUAAUACGGAGGGUGCGAGCGUUAAUCGGAAUGACUGGGCGUAAAGGGCAUGUAGGCGGAUAAUUAAGUUAGGUGUGAAAGCCCUGGGCUCAACCUAGGAAUUGCACUUAAAACUGGUUAACUAGAGUAUUGUAGAGGAAGGUAGAAUUCCACGUGUAGCGGUGAAAUGCGUAGAGAUGUGGAGGAAUACCGGUGGCGAAGGCGGCCUUCUGGACAGAUACUGACGCUGAGAUGCGAAAGCGUGGGGAGCAAACAGGAUUAGAUACCCUGGUAGUCCACGCUGUAAACGAUGUCGAUUUGGAGUUUGUUGCCUAGAGUGAUGGGCUCCGAAGCUAACGCGAUAAAUCGACCGCCUGGGGAGUACGGCCGCAAGGUUAAAACUCAAAUGAAUUGACGGGGGCCCGCACAAGCGGUGGAGCAUGUGGUUUAAUUCGAUGCAACGCGAAGAACCUUACCUGGUCUUGACAUCCACAGAAUCUUGCAGAGAUGUGAGAGUGCCUUCGGGAACUGUGAGACAGGUGCUGCAUGGCUGUCGUCAGCUCGUGUUGUGAAAUGUUGGGUUAAGUCCCGCAACGAGCGCAACCCUUAUCCUUUGUUGCCAUCGGUUAGGCCGGGAACUCAAAGGAGACUGCCGUUGAUAAAGCGGAGGAAGGUGGGGACGACGUCAAGUCAUCAUGGCCCUUACGACCAGGGCUACACACGUGCUACAAUGGCGUAUACAAAGGGAGGCGA
rnacentral:rRNA from 1 species